CGGGAAACCGGAGCUAAUACCGGAUAAUAUAUUGAACCGCAUGGUUCAAUAGUGAAAGACGGUUUUGCUGUCACUUAUAGAUGGAUCCGCGCCGCAUUAGCUAGUUGGUAAGGUAACGGCUUACCAAGGCAACGAUGCGUAGCCGACCUGAGAGGGUGAUCGGCCACACUGGAACUGAGACACGGUCCAG
rnacentral:rRNA from 1 species